AUUGAACGCUGGCGGCAGGCUUAACACAUGCAAGUCGAGCGCGCGGCGGACGGGUGAGUACUGUCUGGGACACUGCCAGAUAGCGGGGGAUCACUACUUGAAACGGUAGCUAAUACCGCAUACCAUCAUUUAUGCACAUAUGGGUUUCGCUGGUAGGUGGGGUAAUGGCUCACCUAGGCGACGAUCCCUAGCUGGUCUGAGAGGAUGACAUGCCACACUGGAACGGAGACACGGCCCCGACUCCUACGGGAGGCAGCAGUGGGGAAUAUUGCACAAUGGGCGCAAGCCGGAUGCAGCCAUGCCGCGUGUGUGAAGAAGGCCUUAGGGUUGUAAAGCACUUUCAGCGAGGAGGCGUUACUCGCAGAAGAAGCACCGGCUAACUCCGUGCCAGCAGCCGCGGUAAUAC
rnacentral:rRNA from 1 species